UAGGGAAUCUUCCGCAAUGGGCGAAAGCCUGACGGAGCAACGCCGCGUGAGUGAUGAAGGUCUUCGGAUCGUAAAACUCUGUUAUUAGGGAAGAACAAAUGUGUAAGUAACUAUGCACGUCUUGACGGUACCUAAACAGAAAGCCACGGCUAACUACGUGCCAGCAGCCGCGGUAAUACGUAGGUGGCAAGCGGUAUCCGGAAUUAUUGGGCGUAAAGCGCGCGUAGGCGGUUUUUUAAGUCUGAUGUGAAAGCCCACGGCUCAACCGUGGUGGGUCAUUGGAAACUGGAAAACUUGAGUGCAGAAGAGGAAAGUGGAAUUCCAUGUGUAGCGGUGAAAUGCGCAGAGAUAUGGGGGAACACCAGUGGCGAAGGCGACUUUCUGGUCUGUAACUGACGCUGAUGUGCGAAAGCGUGGGGAUCAAACAGG
rnacentral:rRNA from 1 species